rnacentral:rRNA from 1 species
AACGAGCGCUGGCGGCAGGCCUAACACAUGCAAGUCGAGCGAGGACUUCGGUUCUAGCGGCGGACGGGUGAGUAACGCGUGGGAAUGUGCCCUUCUCUACGGAAUAGCCCUGGGAAACUGGGAGUAAUACCGUAUACGCCCUAUUGGGGAAAGAUUUAUCGGAGAAGGAUCAGCCCGCGUUGGAUUAGGUAGUUGGUGGGGUAAUGGCCUACCAAGCCGACGAUCCAUAGCUGGUUUGAGAGGAUGAUCAGCCACACUGGGACUGAGACACGGCCCAGACUCCUACGGGAGGCAGCAGUGGGGAAUCUUAGACAAUGGGGGCAACCCUGAUCGAGCCAUGCCGCGUGAGUGAUGAAGGCCUUAGGGUUGUAAAGCUCUUUCAGCUGGGAAGAUAAUGACGGUACCAGCAGAAGAAGCCCCGGCUAACUCCGUG